rnacentral:snRNA from 1 species
AUAGCUUUUCAGCCUUUUGGCUAAGAUUAUGUGUACUAUCUGUUCUUAAUCAGUUUUAACAUCUGAUACAUCCUCUAUCCCAAGACAAUAUAUUAAAUGGAUUUUUUGAACAGGAAGAUGGAAUAAGGGUUUGCUUCAUCCACUCCACACCACACAUCAACCUGGUAUCACAGUAUCUCCAGAAUCUGUGUGCUCCAC